rnacentral:rRNA from 1 species
GAUGAACGCUGGCGGUAUGCUUAACACUUGCAAGUCGAACGGACUCUUCGGAGUUAGUGGCGGACGGGUGAGUAACGCGUGAGAAUCUGGCUUUGGGUUCGGGACAACCACUGGAAACGGUGGCUAAUACCGGAUGUGCCGAGAGGUAAAAGAGAAAUUGCCUGAAGAUGAGCUCGCGUCUGAUUAGCUAGUUGGUGAGGUAAAGGCUCACCAAGGCAGCGAUCAGUAGCUGGUCUGAGAGGAUGACCAGCCACACUGGGACUGAGACACGGCCCAGACUCCUACGGGAGGCAGCAGUGGGGAAUUUUCCGCAAUGGGCGAAAGCCUGACGGAGCAAUACCGCGUGAGGGAAGAAGGCUCUUGGGUUGUAAACCUCUUUUCUUAGGGAAGAACAAAAUGACGGUACCUAAGGAAUCAGCAUCGGCUAACUCCGUG